rnacentral:rRNA from 1 species
GACGAACGCUGGCGGCGUGCUUAACACAUGCAAGUCGAACGGAAAGGCCCUGCUUUUGUGGGGUGCUCGAGUGGCGAACGGGUGAGUAACACGUGAGUAACCUGCCCUUGACUUUGGGAUAACUUCAGGAAACUGGGGCUAAUACCGGAUAGGAGCUCCUGCUGCAUGGUGGGGGUUGGAAAGUUUCGGCGGUUGGGGAUGGACUCGCGGCUUAUCAGCUUGUUGGUGGGGUAGUGGCUUACCAAGGCUUUGACGGGUAGCCGGCCUGAGAGGGUGACCGGCCACAUUGGGACUGAGAUACGGCCCAGACUCCUACGGGAGGCAGCAGUGGGGAAUAUUGCACAAGGGGCGGAAGCCGGAUGCAGCAACGCCGCGUGCGGGAUGACGGCCUUCGGGUUGUAAACCGCUUUCGCCUGUGACGAAGCGUGAGUGACGGUAAUGGGGAAAGAAGCACCGGCUAACUACGG